AGGUUCAGUCCUCCCAGGCCCACCACUUCGCAAUCCGCAAGGAUUGUCGGAUCUCCUCGAUAUCCGUCGGGAAACACUAUCAGGGGCCGUAGCUCAGCUGGGAGAGCGCCUGCUUUGCAAGCAGGAUGUCGUCGGUUCGAUCCCGUCCGGCUCCACCAACCAUCUUCUGUGAAGGUGGGGCGUGUCGAGUAGAGGAUGAUCGCCCGCGGUCAGUCAUUCGAAAAAGAGUUUGCGGCGCGCUUCGUGCUCUCCGCCUGUUCUGUUUGACAUCGUAAAGAGAAGAUUUGUUCGAACUUCACGGCUGCAAGGCUGUGAUUUGUCGCAAGGACGCUCAAUCCCUUGCCUAUGAUGGGUUUGCCUAACCGCGCCCUCGAACGGAUCUCGAGAAGCUGGUCUUUUUGUGCCAAUUCCAUUGAAGCAAGCCCCGCACAGGGUUUUGCUCAGGCGGCGAUCCUUCGGAUCGCGCAGAUGGGUAUUGGCAAUGAGAACGAUCAAGUGUCUUAAGGGCAAUUGGUGGAUGCCUUGGCAUGCACAGGCGAUGAAGGACGUGAUACGCUGCGAUAAGCUACGGGGAGGUGCGAAUACCCUUUGAUCCGUAGAUCUCCGAUGGG
rnacentral:misc_RNA from 1 species